CGACAAAUCCAGAGACAGAUUGGGAUUUAAGGUUAGCGUGUCUUCUGUUGUAUGCAUUUGAUCGAGAGGACAACUUUUGGCAGCUCUAUGGUGAUUUUCUACCAAGUUUUGACGAAUGUACAAGCUUGCUUCUAGCCUCCGAGGAAGAAAUUUUGGAGCUGCAGGAUCAAAAUCUUGCUUCCAUCAUCAGAGACCAGCAGCGCCGUG
rnacentral:misc_RNA from 1 species